GAUGAACGCUGGCGGCGUGCCUAAUACAUGCAAGUCGAGCGAACAGAUAAGGAGCUUGCUCCUUUGACGUUAGCGGCGGACGGGUGAGUGACACGUGGGUAACCUACCUAUAAGACUGGGAUAACUUCGGGAAACCGGAGCUAAUACCGGAUAACAUUUGGAACCGCAUGGUUCUAAAGUGAAAGAUGGUUUUGCUAUCACUUAGAGAUGGACCCGCGCCGUAUUAGCUAGUUGGUAAGGUAACGGCUUACCAAGGCGACGAUACGUAGCCGACCUGAGAGGGUGAUCGGCCACACUGGAACUGAGACACGGUCCAGACUCCUACGGGAGGCAGCAGUAGGGAAUCUUCCGCAAUGGGCGAAAGCCUGACGGAGCAACGCCGCGUGAGUGAUGAAGGGUUUCGGCUCGUAAAACUCUGUUAUUAGGGAAGAACAAAUGUGUAAGUAACUGUGCACGUCUUGACGGUACCUAAUCAGAAAGCCACGGCUAACUACGUGCCAGCCGCCGCCGUAA
rnacentral:rRNA from 1 species